UUUAAUGACUAAAACCUUGUUUUCUUCUCUUGGAUGGUUGUUGUUUUUCCUCUCUCUGUACAAGAAUUUUGCCUAAAUAUUACAAAUUUUUAGAAGUGCUAUUGUUAUAUGCUAGUAAAUAAAAGACACGGACACAUGACAUAUUUUUAUUUAUAAAAGUAAAGCUCUUUAGGCGGCAAAUGAAACAUUCAUUAGGCGCCAAAUGAAAAUGACAAAAGAAAAAGCAAAUGAAAAAAAAGGCUUAUCCCUAAUCUCUCAAAUAUGAAUCCCUACCCUAAUCACGCCUCCUCUGCUUCUUUUUCUCUCUCACACCUAGCUCUUUCUCUAUCUCUUUGUUACAGUCUCUCGGCUCUCUCUCCCUCAUGCCUCUACUCUCUAGUUUGACUGUAACACCACGACUAAGCCUACUGAAACAGUUUAGUCUCUCGUCACUCUCUUUUGUUGAGCCGUUGAAGCACACAUGACGACGCCCCUGCUGAAGCAAGAACCCAAGCAACCCAGCAGCUCAAGAAGCCGUUUGUCUCUGCAGUGCUACAUUAAGUUCAUAAGAAAGACCAAUGAUAAGAAAGGGCUAGAGGGUCGAGAAGAAACUAACAAGGCAUAUGAUUUCAUGCUCAACUAUGUUGGCUUUGAUCUUGGGAAAGAUUUUGAGGAGUGGACAUAGCAUCUGGAUCUGUGUGGAUGGAGUACAUCACUUUCUUAAAGCCAUUGCCAGAAUAACAUCCACAGGAAGAGUCAUUACAAAUGAUUGCUGUACGGAAAGUAUAUCAAAAGGCCAUUGUUACUCGUGCAUCACAUUGAACAAAUUUGGAGGGACUAUGCAAAUUUUGAAAAUUCUGUUAGUCGUCAACUGUGCUAGGGCUGUCUAUAGGGAGCGUAAGAAAUAUAUUGAUGAAAUUGAUUGGAAUAUGCUUGCUGUACCACCAACUGGCUCGCACAAGGAAGAAAUGCAAUGAAUGGCAUGGAAAAAGUUGUUAGAAUUUGAAAAGCCCCCAUAAUGGAAUCUACAAUUAUGUGUAAAUUAUAAGUCUACUUCGUAGGUGCUUUUGUAGCCAUUUCUUUGGGUGCACCAAUAGGUAUGCCACUUGCAAGCUUGGCAUGCUAUUCUUUUUUAGGCUCAUAAUACCGAGCUAGAAGAUGAACCACCAACAAAAAGUCGACUUUCAUCAGCCUUUGUCAAGAGAUCUUUCAAUCAACUUUACUGGUUCAAGACCUCAAGAACUUAGUCAGUUUCAGAACUUGCUUUCAUUGUCUUUGUUCUCUAAUUAUUGACGCUUAUUUUCACAAGAGAUUAGAGCACAACAAUAUAUCAAGUGAUAUUGCUCAACUGCCUCAGCCUUAUUGUACAAAAUGUAUCUUACAACAACUUAGCAUGUCUCAGAUUAUGUAGUUGAACAAACGGAUUCCAACAUUAAAAUAAGUAAAGAGGUGUAGAAACAUGCUAGGGUUUGUGUUGGCAUAUUGUUAAAUAAACAUGUAUGAAUUUUGUGAAAUAUUAUGAAAAGGGAGAAUUUCAUGAAUUGUUGUACUUGCUUAUUGUGUAGAAAUAAUGUUGUAUGUGAUGAAAAAUGUUAUUGAAUGUUUAAAUAAUUUUUUGCAAGUGUUUUGAUGUUUCAAGAAAUUAAUUGGAGGAUUUUAAGAUGCCUUGAAAUAAUAUUUUACAUAAUUAAUUACCAACAGAUUUUUCUUUAUUUUUUAGAAAAUGUGAGUUUUAAACAAAAAAAUGGUGAUUUUGAGUAUAUAGUUAGUUGCUGGAAUUUUAAUAAAAACUUGAAGUUGUGUUUUAAAAUAAAAGAAGUUUUGUGUAUAUGGUGAAAUAAAUCAACAUCCUAACCCAUGAAAAUAUUAAAGAUUAUAUUUCUAUUAUGACUAUGAGAGUUUAUAUUAAAAGUUAUGAUUUUCUUUAUUUUUAAUCAAGAAAAAUAGUGAAUUUAUUUUACAUGUAAUUUUCAAAUAAAUUAAAUUAUGGCUAAAAGUUUAGUUAAGUAUUUAUAAAAAUAAUAAUUUGAUUUUCACAUAUGAAUUUAUUUUAUUUUAAAAAUUUGAUCUUAAAAAAUAACACAAGUAAAAAUAUAUUUUUUCACAUCUAAAUUAGAUUUUUCUCACAUUAAAUUUAUAAAUUUGUUAAUUGGAUUAUAAUGUUAUUUUUCUAAAUAAACAUGUUAAAUUAUGAGUAUUUUUCAUAAUUUUUAGUCUUAGUGAUUUUAUGGAAUUUAAAAGUAAGUAAUGGAAUAAUUAUAUUUUAAAUGAUUAAAUAAAUUAUUUCAUGAAAUAAAAUAAUGUCUUGAGAGAUUUAAUCAACCUAGUAAUUUUAAGAUGACAAACAAUGGUAAUCAAGUAUGUUACAAUUUCAUUAUUUUAAAAAACGAUAGAAAUAAGCGUGUAUGAAUUAUCGUUUUUAAUGUUUUCCUACGUAUGCAUGUUGCAUGCAAUUUCACUUUUACGUUUAAAAAUAUGUCUAUUAUGCAACCGUAUAGUUUUAAUAGCAAGACCAUGCAUGCAAUAUACGUAGAAUAUGCAUUAUUCUUUUAUGAUCUUAUGUGGAAAUAAAUCUUGUUUGGAUGUUGUGAAUAACUUUCACCAUGUGUGCGUGGCCCAUGCACCCAUGGUUUAUAUGAAUGGGCAAAAUAGAGUUUAUGAGAUGCUAAGGAAUGUUAUUUUUAUUGUGGUAUAUGCUCAUUGUGAAGUUGUUGUUUUACCUUGCUUGGACAUGAGGUAAGAAAGUUAGAUAGAAUUUUGUUUGUUUAUGCUAUGAAUGGUAAGAUCGUUGGUAUGAACGAGGAUGUAAUGAUUUAUGUGUUAUGAAGUAUGAAAUGCUUUGUUAUAAUGAUGUGACUGGAUUGUAUGUCAUUUUGAAUGUUGUAUGAUAUGAAUGGAUGUUAGCGUGAUGAAUGCCACACAUCAAAAAUGAGUUGCUAAGGAUAUGAAGACGUAACCCGAGUUACUAAGGAUAUGAAGACGUAGCUCAAAGGGCGGACGCGCCGAGGUUAUUCAAGGACCAAAAAUCUUGUUUACCACAAAGGGUGACAUGGACAAGUUAGCGGGUCAUGUUCACAAGGAUGUGAUGUUUAUGUGAUGAUGUUAUGAUGAUGAUUUUGCAUAUGAUGCUAAUGUUAUUAUGAUUAUGUUUAUGUUUUUUAUGUUGAUGCUAUUACGAUAAUGAUGUUAUGAUGUGUGACGAUGUAUGAUGCGAUUAUGAUUUGUUUGAUUUACUUCUGUGUUGUUUGUACUUCUUUACUGGGCUUUUAGCUCACCCCUUUACUUUCCCUUCCAGGUAGCAAAUAGGUUUCUCUAUGGCACGCAUGGUGAUGUGGUGUGUAUGGUGUGGGGGCAUCCUAUAGAUGAGAAACGAUCAAUUUAAACGUCAUUUUCUUUUAAUAAUGUUAUGUUAUUUUGGACUUUCUAAACUUAUCAGUGAGACUUGAAUUUUGGUUGUUGUAAGAACUUUGUAUGAAAACUUUUAUUUUUUUAAAAAAAAAAACUAUUGGGCCUAA